rnacentral:rRNA from 1 species
GAUGAACGCUGGCGGCGUGCCUAAUACAUGCAAGUAGAACGCUGAAGGAAGGAGCUUGCUCUUUCCGGAUGAGUUGCGAACGGGUGAGUAACGCGUAGGUAACCUGCCUGGUAGCGGGGGAUAACUAUUGGAAACGAUAGCUAAUACCGCAUAACAGUAGAUGUUGCAUGAUAUCUACUUAAAAGGUGCAAUUGCACUACUACCAGAUGGACCUGCGUUGUAUUAGCUAGUUGGUGAGGUAACGGCUCACCAAGGCGACGAUACAUAGCCGACCUGAGAGGGUGAUCGGCCACACUGGGACUGAGACACGGCCCAGACUCCUACGGGAGGCAGCAGUAGGGGAACUUCGGCAAUAGACGGAAGUCUGACCGAGCAACGCCGCGUGAAGGAAGAAGGUUUUCGGAUCGUAAAGAUCUGUUGUAAGAGAAGAACGAGUGUGAGAGUGGAAAGUUCACACUGUGACGGUAUCUUACCAGAAAGGGACGGCUAACUACGUG